CGCCGCGCCCCGCCCUGAGCCCGCGUCCCCGCUCCUGGCCGCUGCCGAGGCGUCCCGGAUUGCGCUCGGCCGGGGUCUUGCCGGGGCGCAUCCCGCCGGAUCCUUGGCCGCGGGCAGGCUCCCUCCACCUCGCUCUGCUUCCGCCUCGCCUCCUCCCGCCCCGCCCUAGGCUCGGCAGGUCUCCGUUCCCAUUGGCCUCCGGGAGGAAAGGGUCCAGCGUGGAAACGGUCAGGGAGAGCUUCCUCCUGAAAUUUGGACCGCAUGCUCGGAAGCGGCCGCCCUCGACAGCCAUCAGGAAUCCUGGCCAGCCACUGGAGGAAGAGAUGCUCAGCGACCAACGACAGGCUUCUCCCCACCAUGGCCAUGAGCAGCUGGGCACCCCUCCUCCACCAGGUGAACUGACACUGCCUUCCCGGAUGCUACCACCAGCCCCUUCCCUCCAUUCUCUGCCAUCACCAGCCAGAGGGACGAGGAUCACUUUACAACCUGAGCUGACAUCAGUUUGGUGUGGCUCGCUUCUCCAGACUCUGCUCCCCCGAGCACAUCUGAAUUGGCCUUUGCAUCUAGUGUGCACCCCCUUGACGACAGCACUCUUUCCUGGUGUGGCUCACAGAUGCAGCCUAGCACCGGCAUGUGUGUUUACUGUGUGUUUACUGCACAGGUGAGAUGGUCACCGCCAUCAGGCAAGGUCAGGCGUACACCCCGCCCCACCUGCAGUAACCCCUUGGCCACCCCGCAGCCUCAGAUUGCCAUAACCCCUUGGCCACCCCGCAGCCUCAGAUUGCCAAGUCCCAGCUGUGUUCUGACUUCCUCCAGUCUUUGCCCUCACUUUAUCUUUACUAUCAAGCUUCCGCUUCCACUUUCAAAACUCAGUGUAGAAAGCACUUCCUUGAGGAUACCUCCUUUGAGUCCUUGCGGCUGGAAUGCCCCCUUCACCACUUGGCUGAUUCUGGAGUGUGUCUCCUCACCUUCAGUGUAUGCUGAGGGCAGGGCUGGCGUCAUCACUAACACAAGGGGACCCCAAGUGUGGGUCUGAUGACUGAGAAGAGAAGCAGAGACCCUCUGCUCCCAGAGACCAAGUAACUUCAAAAGCAGGGGAGUGAAGUAGGCCAGAGCUAAUCUGAUUACUCCAGCAGCUACCCCUCUCCCCUGGGACAGCUAGGGAUAAGCCACAUUCUCCCAUGGCCAGGACAGGGCUGACCUCUGAGGACGUCUCUGCUCCCAGACUCAAGAUGCCUCCCUCUCGCGCCACUGUGCAUCUUUGCAGCGGGACAGGAACGAGGUCCCAAACCCCAGUGGAGGACUGUGACCCAGCUGGGAAGAGGCAUGUGUGGCUGGAGUUCACUGCCCUUGGGAGCUGGGAGUGGAGGAGACGCCCCUGCCUGUGGGAACAGUAGGGAGGGGUGGUCUGGCUACUUGCCCAGCCAGGGAAUAUCAAAUAUCUACUUCCCCUUUCUCCCUGGAUGGGCAACGUGAGGUGAGUGGCACUGGCCCAGCUAGGGACCCAGGGGCAAGUGGGCGAGCACAAUGAGUCUGGUCCCUCACAGAAUGUCGGGCCCAACUGCUUUCUUAUCAAUAUGGAGAAAGCAAGGUCCUUGGUGUUGGGGUGCAAUGUGAAUCCUUCUGUUCCCAGUGGCCCCUGCCCCAGCAGAGCAGCUGCAGAAUGGGCAGCUCUGGGCCUCCGGGUUCCAUGGACUGCAUAUAACAAAUAAGAUGUCCCCAGCAGAGUCUCACAGGGACAGAGCUGAGCUCAAACCUGAGAGACCCCGAGUCUCUCACGUGUCCUGGCCUAGGUAGGUGCAGAUAGUCCAAGCAUAGAAGCAGUUGUUUUAUAUUUAAUUUACAAAAGAGACCCCAAAAAAAUAAUAAUAAACUAUUCAGGGGCAGGAGAGUAGGGUCAGGUCCUCUCUGGCCCGGCUGUGCCCCUCUUCCUCUCAGGCUGGGAGAGAAGGGGCCUCUCA